rnacentral:piRNA from 1 species
UAGAAGGACAUGGCCAGAUCUCACUGAGU